UAAUUUCACUAUCGGAUAAUUACCCAGGGAAAAUGAAAGCACGAACUCAAAAAGAUACAUGCACCCCUAUGUUUACUGCAGCAUUAUUUACAAUAGCCA